rnacentral:lncRNA from 10 species
GCUCGGGCUGGGAAAGGCCCGACACUGUUCUUUUGACAGUUACAGGAAUCAUCUCCUGGAUGCACCACACUCAAGUCAAAGCCUAAAAAGCUAAGGGAGCAACCCCUGAAAGCCCAGAGGAAAGUCCUGAAUCUCAAUGUGGAGAAAUAGAAGACCUUAGGCUGAAAAUCAUGAAAGCUAGAAACGAUCAAACUCAAAAUGGUGCUGCAAACAGAGCCCCACAUGGACAAGCCAUUCUUCCAAGUACCCUUAAAUCCACCUCAGGAGAAGACCCAACUGCUGUUCCCCGACAUGACGCCCCUUUUCAUCAGGAAGUAGCCAGAAAUAAUUGUCGUCCAACACCCACUAACAACAGUUAGGUUUACUUCUCUUGAGGGGGGAAUAAUACAGGAGUUAUUAAGAAAUAAUUCUAGGCAGAUAUAGAGGGUAAAAGUUCUUGAUAAGACUUUUUCUUUUAAUAAAAACAGCUCCCGAAACAUUUCUUUUCUAACAGAAAGGCGGUUUGGAAAGCCAGGCUGGCAAGUAUUAACAUGCUAAUGCUGGUGAUUAGAAACUAGGUCUAACCAACAUGGCCAGCUUGGUGAUUCUCACCCUUUUCUUGUCAGCACGUGUGCCAGGCAUCAUGGCCACCCCUAGCUAUCUCCACGGGUGCAGGACAUCUGGUGGCCUGCAUUUGCAUAUUAAGAGCCUGGGGUGGGAGGGUCAGGUUUUUCUGGGCUAUGUGAAAUACACACCUGGUCAAACCAAUCCACUGGGCCGUAUGCAAAUCAGACACUGCUUUCUCCAGCUUCCCAAUAUUACCGACCACUUUUUCGCAGCAGCACACAGGGUUUCUCUCUUGGGAACCCCGCUCCCUCUAUCUCUGUAGCGGGGAGCUUUUUUUUCUUCUUUCUUGACUAUUAAA